UGCCUAUGCCUGGGAGACUGGCAGGGAAGUUGGGGAGGUACAUGAAGCAUAAUCAGAGUUACCAGUGUUCGGUGAACCACCGAACCAGUGUUUGCUUUCAUACGACCGCGUGUCAGAUCAUCUACUCUUCCACCAGUAAAUCUAUUUUGCUGAGGGAUACACAAAAGAAGCACUGAAAAACUAUACAUAAGAUUUUCUUUAGGUAAUUUUUUAUUAAUAUUUCAAUGUUGGUAGAAUACUGCUACAUACCCAGAAUUCAGGAUUUUCUACUAUAUUCUAUUCUAGUACAAAAUGAGAUUUUUUCCCCUCAAAAUCAGUUCACAAUAACUUCUAAUACAUCUGUUAUGAAAAAUG
ensembl:lncRNA novel transcript